CAUACCCAGCGCUGAGAGCUGAUCCCUGACGGCCUGGACCCACUGCUGCCGCACCGCCGCGUCCGCACACUGGAAGUGUGGUCUCCUGGGAAACGAGCAGAGGGGGCCGAGCACACUCCGGUGAAGAGGAGUGCUUCAGCUUCAUCAGGCGGCACCGCGACGCCCCCAAAAUGGCAAACGGCACCAGGACACCUACAGACAGGUCGCUGCGCUACAUGACAGAGUUGGGGCCCGAGCAGCAGCCCUGCACUUACCUGAGGAACUCCGACCUGUUCAAAUCUCCCCAGCCCUGGUCACAGCCAGCCAGCAUCAGUUAGGAGGUCUGGGCUGUGCAGUUGGAUGAGUGAGCCUGUGGCCUGGCGUGACCUCUCUUCCGGACCCUUCCACCAGCAGGUCUUCAUCCCGCACGGCUGGUGGCAGUUAUAGAAUCAAUACCGUAGAACUCAGGCCCCCCUUUUGUCAGGGAACUGACUGGCCGCCAUUCCAGUGCCGAACCCAGGAACCUUCCCUUACCGUGGAGCGGAUAUCGAUUCCCCCGAAGGGGUGUGGAGGAUGCAGUAACCAUGCCAACGGGAGCCUGUAUCAGACGCUAACGAGAUGGGCUUUGUAACCCAGGAGAACCGACCCUUCGCUGGUUAAAGACAGGAGCUCUGAAAAUAAACUGGACCCAAACUGCCCAUAAUUUACAGCUUGUAGACUUUGGUAAAUACCUCUGUGCUCUCCUACCAUGUGAGUGUGUCU